rnacentral:rRNA from 1 species
AUUGAACGCUGGCGGCAUGCCUUACACAUGCAAGUCGAACGGUAACAGGUCUUCGGAUGCUGACGAGUGGCGAACGGGUGAGUAAUACAUCGGAACGUGCCUAGUAGUGGGGGAUAACUACUCGAAAGAGUGGCUAAUACCGCAUGAGAUCUACGGAUGAAAGCAGGGGAUCGCAAGACCUUGUGCUACUAGAGCGGCCGGUGGCAGAUUAGGUAGUUGGUGGGAUAAAAGCUUACCAAGCCGACGAUCUGUAGCUGGUCAGAGAGGACGAUCAGCCACACUGGGACUGAGACACGGCCCAGACUCCUACGGGGGGCAGCAGUGGGGAAUUUUGGACAAUGGGCGAAAGCCUGAUCCAGCAAUGCCGCGUGCAGGAUGAAGGCCUUCGGGUUGUAAACUGCUUUUGUACGGAACGAAAAGCCCCGGGUUAAUACCCUGGGGUCAUGACGGUACCGUAAGAAUAAGCACCGGCUAACUACGUGCCAGCCGCCGCUGUAA